rnacentral:lncRNA from 1 species
GGAGGAAACAUUUAUGUUUCAAUCACCGAGACACCCUGAUUGGUUUACAAAAUGACAGAUGCAUGUCCAAUGAUUCAUUGUUUGCUCCAUUACACAAAAUGCCCAGUUGACAAGACACCAUAUAGGUUUACCAAAUGAUAAAAGACACAAUGUUUUUCUCCAUUACACAAAAUGCCUAGCUAACAAAAACUGCCAUCUUCAUGGUUACUUCCUGGUCCUCAUGUAUGUCAUUCCUACAAAGGAUAAAAGGGUCGCCGGUGAAUUCAUGCAUUCAUUGAGAUAAUGGAAUAAAUAAUAAUUGUAUAAAGCACCAAUGGCAAAAACAAACUGGGAUUUUAGCAUUAUAAAAACAUGGCAUGUUCUAAUUAGAAUCUGUGACGGAUUAGACAUAAUAAAGCAUCAAUGCCACACCGACCAACCAUAUAGCCUGUAUCAAUCUCCUCAAGUCGCAGACCAAGAAGUAUAUUAAAUGGAAAAGGAGCAUAUGCAUCAUCUGGCCACAAGGCAACAAUUUAGAAUGUCCAGACACCCAAUUAUUGGGAGCAACACAUCCACCAACGGACAGAUGAAAGUCAUUUUUGAAGAAAAGACUGCACUAGUUAUCUUUCUUUUUCUUAUCUCGGGUGGAAAGACCACACUUUGCUGCACUAGACGGCAAUACAUUAGGCAAAAUGAUUACUAUCUAAUACACAGCUAGAAGUUUCAAUGAUGAGUGCAGCAUGGCCUGGGAAAAGCAUUCUCAAAAACCCACGUACAUCAGGAGGUUAUGCAUACUUUCCCUAUGUUAGAAAUGAAUUUCAAGGAGAAGAAUCUAUCCGCAAUCAUUUCUAAAUGCAGUACUAAGCACAUGAGGACCUGCAAAAUACCAAACAAAAAGUAUCUGAACUUACACUGCACCUGACUAUUAUAUUCCUAAAAAUAUCGGAGAAAAGCAUCUGUACUUCAGUGCCACAAAUUAGAUUAAAUUGAUGACCAUCCUCUGAUCUCACUGCACUAAGUUGUGGCAAUUGCGGGACAGAUGUGGGCGAAUUAACAAUGACCUUUUUAGAACUAACUUGCUUAUGCCAUAUGCAUGGUAGGAUCACCAUUAAGCACCUGACUUGCUACUGCUCAGGAUUCAGAAACUGAGAAGAUUUCUCCUAUACAGUAGAAAAAUACUGUUAGGAUCGAGGAGGUAUGCAUAUAAAUUAAUUUUCAAAUAGAUAUCAGCGCUUUAAAUGGAUAUCAUGAAGCUUUCCUUCCCCACUAAAAAACUGGGCGAAAUUUAUCUCAAGAAUGUUCACUUAUGAUAACCAAGAGAAACUAUCUGUGCAUACAAGUGUUUUAGAAGCAACAAAUAUGAAGUGCUAACAAAUUAAAGCCCUUAGCUACACCGCUAGUCCUUUGCUUUUUAAAAAAAACUUGCAAGCACUUCAUAUGUGAGUGUAGUCCUUUUGUUCAGUCAAUCACAUGUUGCUAGAAAUAAUAGAAGACCUUGGCUAGCUUCAUGCCAUAUCUUAAAAUGUAUCUAAGCUACACCAAUACGAGUUGCUCUGCAACGUACAGAUAAACAGUAAGAGAUGUAUUCAGAAAUAAGUAACAAAUUUCUUCAUGGAUACAAUGGCCUUAUAAAGCAGAACAGUCUACGGUUGUGGAACCAUUCUCAUUGCAAAAUUGCCAAAAACUAAUAAGAAAAAUGCAACCGUAACAUCUAUAGAGAAAGACUGAGAAUAAAUUAGAACCAGCUUUUCAUAUUUAGUCUUGUUUAGAAAACUACUGAAGAAAAAUAACAAAAAAAAUACAGCUGGAAAUCUAUACAAGCGAAAAGGUAAAUUACACUCUUCAUUCCAGAAGUGAACUAUUCUGGACGUUUUACAGAACUAGUGAAGCAAAUUGACAGAAAAUACUACUGUAAACUCUGUAGAAGCAUGACUGUAAAUUACAAAUUGCAAAAAUACGUAUUUAAUCUUUUUUUCCAGAAACUAAACUAAAGCUAUAAAGAACUAAUGUUCCAAAAUUACAAAUAAAAGAUGUUGUAAGUUUAUACAAGCCUAAGAGUAAAACCUCUUAACUGAACUAUUCUGGAAGUUACAGAACUACUGAAGCAAAUUUAUAGUGAAAAUAAAACUGUAAAAUCUUUAGAAGCAUGACUGUAGAAAUACAAACGUCUAGAUAUACAUGUAUUUUAUCUUGAUUCCAGAAAAACUGUACUAAGUACUACAGAAUUAAUGUUGCAAAAUUAUGGAGAAAAUAAGUAGUAAGUUAAUACAAGCCUAAGUGUAAAACAACUUAAGAACUGAACUACUCUACAAGCUUUACAGAACUAAUUUUGAAAAAAUACAGAAAUACAAGAGUAAAUCUAUACAACCAUGAGUGAUGCUAUGUCUUCCACCCGAAAAUCCUUGAUUGAUGCUAUGUCUUCCUACCGAAAAUCCUUCUACUAGAAUUGGAGCAUUGAGACUAACAAUUUAACAAACACUUGCAGUAUGUUGCCCUAUAGCAGGAAAUAAGGAAGAGGGAUAGGAACAGGGAAGGAUUGGAUGUGGGGAGAGAAAAAGUAAACGAUACCUUGUUGUUGGCCGGAAAGAGUAGCAAAGCUCCAGCCUCUAGGUCAAUAUCGUCCUCGUAGAAGUCAUCGACGAAGAGGUCUAUUUCCGUCCGCUUGCAGAGCCUAUGUAUGGUGUGUCUCAACUUUCACCUGGUUCAGAGGAUGAAAAAUUAAUAUACUCCUAUGUUUGCAAGAAUUCUACAAUGCUUAACUAAAAAUGAGAAACAUUAGUAUGAUUAUAGGAAGUAAUGAAUUUUCACAGGAUACCCUUGUAUUGACCUUCAAGCAUCCUAUGAAAUCACAAAUUACAACUCACAAGCUCUAAAGUUCAGAAAUCAAUCACAACCAGUCAUAGAAAAUUAGCUAGUAAAGGUUUGCUGCAACAGUACUGAAAGGAAUACCUGUAGUAUAGACUUUUUUUAAUCAUAGUAUCAAGCUUGUUCUUCUCAAGUUCUCAUCCUCUCAAAUCCAGAAAUCACAUGAGCAGUAGCCAGCUCUUAGACUGCAUUUCCGACUAGCCCAUUAGCAGAUAGAGCCCCUGUUUUUGACGUUCUGCUUGAGCUCGAGCUCCCAGCCGAAGCGCUGCUUGCUGGAUAGAAGUACUAUCCCAAGUCAUGGCUGAUCUGAACGGAAAAGGGAAAAGCAAACAAAUCAACUAACAGAAGCACCGAUUGGGGAGGGGUGGAGAGGGCGAGGAGAGUGAGAAGAACACCCACCGUCGGGGAAGGGGAAGCAGCAGCAAUCAAC